AAAGGGAAAAAAUAGAAAUUGGGCCAAAAUGAAUUAUGAAACCGCCCGCAAUAAGGAAAAAAAAGGGCAAUCUCUUUCCUCUUCCUAGCUACGAUCGAUAAUCCUUAGGUUUAAUCAGUUCCGUCUGGCUCAAUUCAUCAGAAAAUCGUUCGUUUCGAUCGUGAUCUUGGAUUUCAUCGAAUUCGUGCUUCUAAAUUCAGUUUGGAGUUAUGUGGUAUCUAGGUGCUCGGGCAGCAUAUGAGUUGCGACGGCUUCACUGAGGCCAGGCUCAAAUGAGGACAGUUGGGGAACUGGUCAUUUUUUCUUCUAUAUGGCUGAUGAAGGUGGACAUACCAUCAGCUUGAAUAGAGAUUUGUUGGACAUUCAUGAAAGCUCAUUACUUGCAUCAGGAUCGCAAAAGGAUGUUGGAGGCUGGCAGUUGCUAUUGGAAUCAACUGUAUGUUAAUAAUGGGAGAGACGAACUUUUGAAGUUCUUUUAUUUCACUUUUUUCGUUCCCCAACUUUUUUGAUAAGGCUGAUUUACUAGGGAGUAAUGUUUUAUUUUCUGUUUGGUUUAGCCUGGUGUGAUUUUAUUUCGUCCAUGUGAUAGUUCCCAUGCUAUAUUAGUUUACUUGUUCAUUGCUUCA